GAUGAACGCUGGCGGCGUGCCUAAUACAUGCAAGUCGAGCGAACAGACGAGGAGCUUGCUCCUCUGACGUUAGCGGCGGACGGGUGAGUAACACGUGGAUAACCUACCUAUAAGACUGGGAUAACUUCGGGAAACCGGAGCUAAUACCGGAUAAUAUAUUGAACCGCAUGGUUCAAUAGUGAAAGACGGUUUUGCUGUCACUUAUAGAUGGAUCCGCGCCGCAUUAGCUAGUUGGUAAGGUAACGGCUUACCAAGGCAACGAUGCGUAGCCGACCUGAGAGGGUGAUCGGCCACACUGGAACUGGGACACGGGCCAGACUCCUACGGGAGGCAGCAGGAGGGAAUCUUCCGCAAUGGGCGAAAGCCUGACGGAGCAACGCCGCGUGAGUGAUGAAGGUCUUCGGAUCGUAAAACUCUGUUAUUAGGGAAGAACAAAUGUGUAAGUAACUAUGCACGUCUUGACGGUACCUAAUCAGAAAGCCACGGCUAACUACGUGC
rnacentral:rRNA from 1 species